rnacentral:rRNA from 1 species
GAUGAACGCUGGCGGCGUACCUAAUACAUGCAAGUCGAGCGAACGGACGAGAAGCUUGCUUCUCUGAUGUUAGCGGCGGACGGGUGAGUAACACGUGGAUAACCUACCUAUAAGACUGGGAUAACUUCGGGAAACCGUAGCUAAUACCGGAUAAUAUUUUGAACCGCAUGGUUCAAAAGUGAAAGACGGUCUUGCUGUCACUUAUAGAUGGAUCCGCGCUGCAUUAGCUAGUUGGUAAGGUAACGGCUUACCAAGGCAACGAUGCAUAGCCGACCUGAGAGGGUGAUCGGCCACACUGGAACUGAGACACGGUCCAGACUCCUACGGGAGGCAGCAGUAGGGAAUCUUCCGCAAUGGGCGAAAGCCUGACGGAGCAACGCCGCGUGAGUGAUGAAGGUCUUCGGAUCGUAAAACUCUAUUAUUAGGGAAGAACAUAUGUGUAAGUAACUGUGCACAUCUUGACGGUACCUAAUCAGAAAGCCACGGCUAACUACGUG